rnacentral:tRNA from 1 species
GCCUGGGUGGCUCAGUUGGUUGAGUGACCGACUUCUGCUCAGGUCACGAUCUCACAGUUUGUGAGUUCGAGUCCCGCAUCAGGCU